UCUUCCCCUCUCUCUCGAGUCUGUUAAAUCAGUCGCCUCCACCACCACUCACCAGCAUAUCAACCACCUCCAUCAAUAGCACCACCACGCACCAACAUAUCCACAACCUUUAUCUCGUCUUAGCGGCGAAGAAAAUGGGGUUCUUCGUGUGAAACUAUUCUCUCUCUUCAUCUCAUUCGAUGUAUCUUACUCACUAUCUGAGGUUCGGGUUUCUCCUAUUAUGGCACGAAGCAGGGCUGCCAAUGGCCAUUCUUUGCGUGUUGGGAACAGGAUAUUUAUAUUGACGUGUCAUGAGAGUCUACGGAGGUUUGAAUAUUUUCUUACUGGAACCUAUUCCUGAAGAGGUAGAGAAUAUUGAAGAAAUCCAAAGGCUAGUGACCACUCAUGUAGUGAUAUCUAGUGAAAACCUAGCAACAAACAGUUAAAAGAGGAGUUGACAUAUGCUAAAAAUUUUGAGGAAUUAGAGCAUAAAUGGGUCUAUUUUCGCGAGAAGAAAUUGGCUGUUUACAGUAAUGAGCUUAAACGACUUCACUCAUUAAAUGGAAACCAAGGUGUGAAGGCGACUUCCCUUACGAGGUAUAAAUUAAACUGUGAGAUUAACGGUUUCAGAGCGAAGUUAAGAGAACUUCUCAUAAACGCAUGGGGCGAAGAAGGUGCUGCUACUGCUCCUAAUCCAGGUAACAUGUUGUUAGGAGAUAUCAGGGAAGCCAUAAUUGAUCUUGAUAGCAAACAUGGAAAACUGAUGGAUGAACAGCCUUCUGAUGCAGCCGUUGAUAUGCAACUCUUUCUACAGCAACAUUCCAUUCUCAAUCAGGUGCUUUCAUGUUUGAAAGAUAGCUGAAGGUUUCUUAGGUGAUUAUCUAAACUACUUUUGCUUGUUCUUUCCUAAGGUGCCAAAGCUCUUUUUAAUCCUUGCAUGUUUUCUCUUCCACCUGAUCUGGAUGUUUUCUAGAUUUAUUAGUUUGACAGGUGUUUAGUCCUUUCAUUGUUUUGAGGAUUACGUAUAAAAAAGUUAUAUAAUAUAUUAUGUCUUUCUCAUAGUACUUUACAGGUUCUUGAUGCCCGGCCGUAUGAGCAAUGAACCGUGGGUUAAUUUUGGCUAUUAAUGACUAUGCUGCUUAUGUUGUUAUGAAACAGUGGGUUAAUACGUAACGUUCCUUGUGAACUUUUAGUAAUGUUCCUUGUGAAUUUUUACUGACACAUGCAGACUGUUGUUUGAGUUUCAAAUCAUCGUCUCUCUAGCAUUCUCUAUGUAAUUAUAAAAGAAAGAAUUCCCUCUGUUGUUUUAUGAUAAAUAUUGUUGAUCUUUUUUCCCUGGU